rnacentral:lncRNA from 1 species
CUAAAGGUCCCUCUCCCAGAAUACAAGGAAGCGCUAAGAAGGAGGAUGUGGGGGCAGUGUUCCAGCAGGCAUCCCAGGCUCUUCCGGCUGGAGAGCUCAGGAGACUGAGCGGUGUCAAGGCUGGAGUGAGCUAUAGGGUGCGCUGGGAGGAGGAUGGCCCAGGAGGUGGUCUGGGCACCGAAGAAUCGCGCUGGCCCUGACCGCAUGCCCCAGCCUUCCUGGGGUUUGUGAGGAGCUCUGAAGGUGGGGGUGAGGUGUUGUAAGUAAGGGGUGGGGAGUAUGAAGACGCCCACUGAAAAGAACAUUAAUCUUAGAAAGGACUUGAUUCGUCUUGGGAGCACUAUACUGAGAGCUAGGCAAGUGGAAACCGGAAGGGGCAGGCAGAGGGGUCACCCAGUGCGAUGUCAAGAGUGGGGCCGGCUGGUCCGGGAAUAUGCUGGGGAGUGGAGCACGUUUAUAUUCGACGUAGGAAAAACAAUGGAGAGGAAGAGAAGGUGGAAGGGAGGGCAAGGGAGAGAAACAUCACAUAGAUAUUUUUAGACUUUGCUGAAGAUCUGUUAUUUUUACAUCCUUGGGCUCGGGACGGCAGGGAGUUAAAUUCCCCUGAGAGAAUCCCCAU